rnacentral:rRNA from 5 species
UGACCUCAAAUCGGGUGAGACUACCCGCUGAACUUAAGCAUAUCAA